rnacentral:rRNA from 1 species
GACGAACGCUGGCGGCGUGCUUAAUACAUGCAAGUCGAACGGAAAGGCCCUGCGUUUGUGGGGUGCUCGAGUGGCGAACGGGUGAGUAAAACGUGAGUAAAAUGCCCCUGACAUAGGGAUAACAUCUGGAAACUGGGGCUAAUAUCGGAUAGGAGCUCUUGCUGCAUGGUGGUGGUUGGAAAGAUUCGGCCGUAUGGGAUGGACUCGCAGCUUAUCAGCCUGUUGGGGGGGUAGGGGAUGACCAAGGGUUUGACGGAUAGCCGGCCUGAGAGGGUUGCCGGCCACAAUGCGACUGAGAGACGGCCCAGAAUCCUACGGGAGGCAGCAGUGGAGAAUAUUGCACAAUGAGCGGAAGCCUGAUGCGGCGACGCCGCGUGCGGGAUGACGGCCUUCGGGUUAUAAACAGCUUUGGCAUGUGACGAAGCGUGAUUGACGGUAAUGAGUAAGAAAGCACCGGCUAACUACGUG